UGCAUGAUUAAAUGAAACUCUCAGGCUGCCCAAAAAAAAGAGAAGGGUCUCCUCCAUUUUUGAGAGAUUCCAUCUGAGGCUAUGAUGGCGUCAUCCAUCAGGCGUCAAACCGCAACUUUUUCUUGCCCGAGAAAAUGCAGAGCCACUGGUGUAAAAUCGAGGGAUGGUGUUGGUGCAUGCCGAGGACGCUGGUGUCGCCUCUGUUUUUCUGGCAUAUGCUUGUGUCAAUGUGAAGCAUCUCAUAUUUCUAUUCUUCUUAUUUCUAAUAUGAUACGGAGUAGAAUCAUUUUAGGGUAUGAGAGGCAGACAUUGCUCGGACUUGGUAGGGCAAACAUCUUCUAGAUGUACUCCUAGAUCUUUUCUCCAAGUGAUGUACAACUUUAUUAUUAUUUUCCUUAAACAAAUGAUAGUAAUCAUGUGGGGUACUCCCUUUUAAUUCA